AUAGGUGAACCUGCGGAAAGAUCAUUAACACGUAUCCAACGUUAAACAACCCCGUGAACCUUCAGCCUGCUCUCGUAGCCCACGCGGCAACAGCAAUCCCGGUAAAUCAUUGACGACCAGUUUUGAUUCGAGACCUCUGUUACGAUGUGAGAAGUUACAGUUACGAUCAAGCGGUAGAGUCAAUAGCAUAGCGUCCCCAAACAGAAUCCAAAGAAUGAAAGGAUCACUGGCUGCGCAAGGAUAACGCCUC
rnacentral:misc_RNA from 1 species